AGAUUAAGUUAUUAAGGGCACACGGUGAAUGCCUUGGCACUAGAAGCCGAUGAAGGACGUUACUAACGACGAUAUGCUUUGGGGAGCUGUAAGUAAGCUGUGA
rnacentral:rRNA from 1 species